AUUAAACACGUAUUUAUUAACAGCAUGCCUAAUUCUGUGGAAACCUGACUUGAACCCUCGUCAUUCUGACUCUUGGGGCAUCACAAUAAGGACAGACUGCCU